AAUCGUAUAAAAGGAGAGAAAAAAGGCGGUGGAAAAUCAGUCGAGUGAGGAUCUCCGACACGGCAACAACUGCAGCGUACUAUUUGUCAUCAACAGGAUUAUUCAUCGUGCAAUCAUGGUUGUUUAGUUAAACAUGGUGUCGUUGAUGGCUGGGUCGACCACUGGUGUACCGAUGUCUCCUGGGUAUGGAGGAUUCCAAACCGUAACGCCGCCGCCUUACUUCUCAACAACAACAUACGAAACAACCGGUACUACAUCACCAAGGCUCCAGGGUACCACCACAUCUUAUAAUGCCCGAGCUACUACACCGAAGCCCUGAAGUAUAACUCUGCCCCGAGCUACACUACCAAAGAGCCGGAGUACCAAAGAGAGUGAGUUGUUUUUUUCAACAACUGGAUUGUUCAUCGUUUAACCAGUUCAUAAUUAUGGCUAACUAAAGCGUCGUGCUGGUGUUGGGCGUUGUAUGACUCGGUCGACCACUGGUGUACCGAUGUCUUCUGGGUACAGCGGUUAGCCGGAUAGAAAACGCCGCCGCUCUACUACACAACAACAACUUUAACAACCAGUUACUACGCCGAGGCCCACAAGUACUACACCCCUAAGGCGUCGGAGUACCAUAACUUACGCUUCGCCGAGCUACUACACCGAUGCCCCGAAUUAUUACUCUGCCGCGAGCUACACCACCAAGACAGCGGAGUACUACACGGCUACGUAUGCUGCCCUAUCUGACUACACCGAGUCUCCAGCUACUACACCGAGUCUCCAGCUACUACACCGAGUCUC